UCCGAGUUGACCCCGGCAGUCUCCUGCGAGUCCCCGCCAUUACGCGCUGGCAACACAGGACAAGGGUUGCGCUCGUUGCGGGACUUAACCCAACAUCUCACGACACGAGCUGACGACAACCAUGCACCACCUGUCACCGCUGUCCCCGAAGGGAAAGGCUUAUCUCUAAACCGGUCAGCGGGAUGUCAAGACCUGGUAAGGUUCUUCGCGUUGCUUCGAAUUAAACCACAUGCUCCACCGCUUGUGCGGGCCCCCGUCAAUUCCUUUGAGUUUCAGUCUUGCGACCGUACUCCCCAGGCGGGCACUUAAUGCGUUAGCUACGGCGCGGAAAACGCGGAAUGUCCCCCACACCUAGUGCCCAACGUUUACGGCAUGGACUAC
rnacentral:misc_RNA from 1 species